rnacentral:lncRNA from 1 species
AGGACUUUUUGUUGGGGCCUAUCUGAGCAGGACCAACUAACCAGCAGGAACAGUUGGAAGAGACCAAAGCAGGAAGUGGGGGGGGGGGGGGCAGGAAUAAAAGGGGGCUACCAACGAAGACCCUACUCCGAGGACAACUUUCUUUCUCGAGAGACAUUAUGGAGAGAUGAGAAAGUCUAGGCUUUCCUAUUAACCUACAACCCCCUUAGAUGGAGUGUGCAGGUAUGACUAAACAUUCAGAGGCCAGGUAACGUCAAAUAGAUUUACCGCAACGCCAACUUUCAGAGAGACAAGCCUUUCCUGCUCAGGAACAUUCAGAGGAAAAGUGACCUGAGAGUCACCACCACCUGGCUAGGCACCAGUGCACCAACUCCAAAGAGAAAGAAGCCGGUGGCAGCAACAAGACAGUCCCCACGAAUCCAUCACGAGGAACCCGCCAACGACGACAAGACGGUCCUCGGCGCAGCCCCAAAUGCUCAGGGUCCCAGCAGCAGCCAGCCCUUCGCCUUCUCUGGCAUUUGGUCUCUGAGCAGCGCAGCCGGCCCUGUCAGUCAUGUCCCCAAAUGAGGCCCCCAGUGAGAACGAGGAGCAGGAGGGCUCCUCAGAUUACAAGUGUGCCCUCUGUGAACAUUUCAAGGAAAAUCCAGGUCCCUAGGCUCACAGGCCACUGAUGACAGCUAAAAAGUCACCACUGUAACCAUCAAUCUAUUUUCGGCUUUAAUGGAAACAAACACAACUCCGCGGGAGUAAAUAAACAGUCUGACUAGAAUGGCGAAUCUGUGUUC